rnacentral:rRNA from 1 species
ACAUUGCUUGCGGCGGUAACGUCCACCACGUAUAUCUUCAAACUUUGACCUCAAAUCAGGUAGGACUACCCGCUGAACUUAAGCAUAUCAAUAAGCGGAGGAAAAGAAACCAACAGGGAUUGCCUCAGUAGCGGCGAGUGAAGCGGCAAAAGCUCAAAUUUGAAAUCUGGCGUCUUUGGCGUCCGAGUUGUAAUUUGAAGAAGGUAUCUUUGGGCCCGGCUCUUGUCUAUGUUCCUUGGAACAGGACGUCACAGAGGGUGAGAAUCCCGUGCGAUGAGAUGACCCGGGUCUGUGUAAAGUUCCUUCGACGAGUCGAGUUGUUUGGGAAUGCAGCUCUAAGUGGGUGGUAAAUUCCAUCUAAAGCUAAAUAUUGGCGAGAGACCGAUAGCGAACAAGUACAGUGAUGGAAAGAUGAAAAGAACUUUGAAAAGAGAGUGAAAAAGUACGUGAAAUUGUUGAAAGGGAAGGGCUUGAGAUCAGACUUGGUAUUUUGCAUGCUGCUCUCUCGGGGGCGGCCGCUGCGGUUUACCGGGCCAGCAUCGGUUUGGAGCGGCAGGAUAAUGGCGGAGGAAUGUGGCACGGCUUCUGCUGUGUGUUAUAGCCUCUGACGAUACUGCCAGCCUAG